AGGAGGAGGAGGCAAACCCAUACAGAGAAACGCAGCCAAUGCAAGAGAAAGAGCAAGGAUGAGAAUAUUAUCGAGACGUGGCCUUUCAGUUUUGGAAGACAGAGCGAGACAGGAGUGAGAGAGAGAGAGUUCGCUCACACUCAGGACGAGAGAUAUUCAGAAAUGCAGGAUUUUAAUAUAUAUAAUUCUGAAAUACACUUCUGAUAAUGAUAAUAAUAAUAAUGAUGAUGAUUAUAAUAAUAAUAAUAAUAAUAAUAAUAAUAAUAAUAAUAAUAAUAAUAA